AUGAAGGGGGCCAAAUCCAAGGGCGCCGUCAAGGCCGACACCAAGUUGGCGGUGAAGAGCAAGGGGGCGGAGAAGCCGGCCGCCAAGGGGAAGAAGGGCAAGGCCGGCAAGGACCCCAACAAGCCCAAGAGGGCGCCCUCCGCCUUCUUCGUCUUCAUGGGCGAGUUCCGCGAGGAGUUCAAGCAGAAGAACCCCAAGAACAAGUCCGUCGCCGCCGUCGGCAAAGCGGCCGGUGAGAGGUGGAAGAGCUUGAGCGAAUCGGAGAAGGCCCCCUACGUGGCCAAGGCCAACAAGCUCAAGGGCGAGUACAACAAGGCCAUUGCCGCCUACAACAAGGGCGAGAGUGCUGCUGCUGCUGCCCCAAAGAAGGCGGCGGCCAAGGAGGUAGAGGAGGACGAUGAGGAGGAAUCCGACAAGUCCAAGUCGGAGAUCAAUGAUGACGAUGACGAUGAGGGUAGCGACGAGGACGAGGACGAUGACGAGUGA
rnacentral:rRNA from 1 species